GACGAACGCUGGCGGCGUGCCUAAUACAUGCAAGUAGAACGCCGUUUCGAACGCGUGUGUAACGCGUAUGUAACUGCCUCAUAGCGGGGGAUAACUAUUUGAAACGAUAGCUAAUACCGCAUACUGUUAGAUAGACCUGCGUUGUAUUAUCUAGUUGGUGAGGUAAAGGUUCACCAAGGCGACGAUACAUAGUCGACCUGAGAGGGUGAUCGGCCAGACUGGGACUGAGACACGGCCCAGAAUCCUACGGGAGGCAGCAGUAGGGAAUCAUCGGCAAUGGACGGAAGUCUGACCGAGCAACGCCGAGUGAGUGAAGAAGGUUUUCGGAUCGUAAAGCUAUGUUGUUAGAGAAGCGGUACCUAAACAGAAAGGGACGGCUAACUACGUGCCAGCCGCCGCGGUAAUUC
rnacentral:rRNA from 1 species